rnacentral:ribozyme from 1 species
UUCCCAGCAACUCCUAUCCCUACCUCCUCACGGUACUGACCGGGGUACGAGUAACCUUAGGGAAGAUCGGGUAAUAAACCCCUGUGGUAGGUAUCUUUGAUCGUAUUCUGACUGGGAAGG